rnacentral:rRNA from 1 species
CCUACGGGAGGCAGCAGUGGGGGAUAUUGCACAAUGGGGGGAACCCUGAUGCAGCGACGCCGCGUGGGUGAAGAAGCGCCUCGGCGCGUAAAGCCCUGUCAGCAGGGAAGCAAAUGACGGUACCUGAAGAAGAAGCCCCGGCUAACUUCGUGCCAGCAGCCGCGGGAAUACGUAGGGGGCAAGCUGUAUCCGGAUUUACUGGGUGUAAAGGGGGCGCAGACGGCGAUGCAAGCCAGGAGUGAAAGCCCGGGGCCCAACCCCGGGACUGCUCUUGGAACUGCGUGGCUGGAGUGCAGGAGGGGCAGGCGGAAUUCCUGGUGUAGCGGUGAAAUGCGUAGAUAUCAGGAGGAACAACGGUGGCGAAGGCGGCCUGCUGGACUGCAACUGACGUUGAGGCCCGAAAGCGUGGGGAGCAAACAGGAUUAGAUACCCGUGUAGUC